rnacentral:rRNA from 1 species
UNUGACUUGAGUGCAGAAGGGGAGAGUGGAAUUCCAUGUGUAGCGGUGAAAUGCGUAGAUAUAUGGAGGAACACCAGUGGCGAAAGCGGCUCUCUGNUCUGUCACUGACGCUGAGGCUCGAAAGCGUGGGUAGCGAACAGGAUUAGAUACCNUGGUAGUCCACGCCGUAAACGAUGAGUGCUAGGUGUUAGGCCCUUUCCGGGGCUUAGUGCCGGAGCUAACGCAAUAAGCACUCCGCCUGGGGAGUACGACCGCAAGGUUGAAACUCAAAGGAAUUGACGGGGGCCCGCACAAGCGGUGGAGCAUGUGGCUUAAUUCGAAGCAACGCGAAGAACCUUACCAGGUCUUGACAUCCCGAUGCUAUUCUUAGAGAUAGGAAGUUACUUCGGUACAUCGGAGACAGGUGGUGCAUGGUUGUCGUCAGCUCGUGUCGUGAGAUGUUGGGUUAAGUCCCGCAACGAGCGCAACCCUUAUUGUUAGUUGCCAUCAUUAAGUUGGGCACUCUAGCGAGACUGCCGGUAAUAAACCGGAGGAAGGUGGGGAUGACGUCAAAUCAUCAUGCCCCUUAUGACCUGGGCUACACACGUGCUACAAUGGUCGGUACAACGAGUUGCGAGCCGGUGACGGCAAGCUAAUCUCUGAAAGCCGAUCUCAGUUCGGAUUGGAGGCUGCAACUCGCCUCCAUGAAGUCGGAAUCGCUAGUAAUCGCGGAUCAGCACGCCGCGGUGAAUACGUUCCCGGGCCUUGUACACACCGCCCGUCACACCACGAGAGUUUGUAACACCCGAAGU